GCGGCGUCUGCCGGAGGAGAGCCAUACUGACUUAGUAUCGGUUUAUUUACAGACGACUCGCAGUGCUUUGUGGACGUUCGCCUCAUUGACUUUGCUCACACAGCGUUUGUGCCACGCAAUGGCAGCAUGCUACCCACUCCGCCCGUGGCCCCCUUCACCAUGGACCCGACGGCGGCUUUCUCACCGGCCUGGACAGCCUUAAUCGACUGCUCAACGAGAUACUGGCAGAGGACAGGAUCUAGACAGAGUUCGGUGAAAAGAAGUGAAAAGAAACAGGGAGUGGAAACUAGAGCGGAGAAAGGAACACAAGUUAAAAGUACAAUUUAAUUUCAAAAUACCUAAAUUGUUGUAGCAACAUGUGUUAAAUUAUGAAAC